UCUUUAGUUUGAUACAUUGUGCAAUUGGGUCCUAAAAUAAAGCUCAGAUUGCUGAUAUUAUUGUUUACAACGAUAGAGCUUAUUUUUCUGAGUACAAUGACCCUUUGUGCGACCACAAAGAGUUUAAAAUGUUUUUUUAAAAUCAAGUUAAAAAAAUUAACCUCGCGGUCGUUCUUUACAGAAAAGGCAACCUUGACAGCUCUUUCCAAGGGGACCAUAGUUGAUCCAUCGAAAAAAUGUUGUCUUGUCAACUUUUUUUUUUGCAUUAAAAUUAAAAAAAGAUCGGAAAUGGUUUCAAGUGUGUUUUUAAUAGUUGUACAUCAAAAUUUACAGAGGGCUUUAGGACCCUAAGUUAUAUAACUUGAAAAUUUUAUUUGAAAGCAAUACUCGAAAAAAAAUUAAUAACAUUAUUUUUUCCCGGGAAUUUAAAAGCAAUAAAAUCCCGGGAGCUUCAAAUCUCAAAGCACAAAAGAAAACGUCAAAACCUUCUCAGCUCAAACCUCACAAACACAAACGUCAAACGAGUGUUUACUCGCGGCAUUUUUUGUUGCUCAAUCCGUGCGAUCCGCAUUCCCGCGCCUUAAAAUUUGUUUGAUGUCGGUUCCCUGCAAUGGCCACUUCCGCGCCGAUGGCCCAGGACGUCACGGAUCUCAAGUUAUAGCUGUGUUUGCCGGUGAUGAAACCGUCCGGAUUGGGUACUUCCUGCAGGCGGCGGAUUGGUGUUUCUGGGGACGACGGGGCCGCAGCUGGAAGUAAACAUCGGACAAGAUGAUCGACGAGAAUGUUCCGCUGCGGAUGAUUUCGUUGCCGAGGGAGCCAUUCCAGCUGGCGAUCAACUGUGACCAUGGGCUGCUGGAGAUGGACGCGGACGGGUUCUAUUUUCGGUUCCGUUGUUUUUGACGCCGACGAAUGGGAAAUUGUUCGAGAUUCGAACAUCGUGGUAAGGUGGCGUGAGGCGAUCGUUUUUGUUGAAUCCGGAGUUUAAUAUCAUAUUUUUGCUGAUAUAAUUAUAGGUAGUGAACAUAAUGUAUGAAAAAUAAGUUGUUGAACUGAAGAGAUAAAAUAAAUAAUAAAAUGAA